rnacentral:lncRNA from 1 species
GUGGUGCUGCAGGCCGAGGUGGCCGAUCUGCGCCAGGACAACCGGCGGCUGCAGGAGGAGUCGCAGAGCGCCAGCGAGCAGCUCAGGCGCUUCGCACGGCUCUUCGCCAGCAACCCCCCCCCAAAAAAGGAGCUCUGAGCACCCAUGGGUGCGGGGGGGGGGGCAUGGAGACCCCCACCCACACACCACCAACCCACCCGUGGGGGUCCUGUAGGGUUUAUAUGGGACCAGGAGCAGCUCUAUGGGGGCCUAUGGGGCCCUGAGCCCCAGGUAUGGGACCAGGAACAUCUGUAUGGGAUCAGGGACAUCUGUAUGGGAUCAGGAACAUCUGUAUGGGAUCAGGAACAUUUGUAUGGGACCAGGAGCAGCAAUAUGGGACCAGGAACAUCUGUAUGGGAUCAGGGACAUCUGUAUGGGACCAGGAGCAGCAAUAUGGGACCAGGACAGUCUGUAUGGGGUCGAGAGCAUCUGUAUGGCACUGGGAAUAUCUGUAUGGGACCAGGAGAAACCAUAUGGGACCAGCAGCAUCCAUAUGGGAUCAAGAGCAUCUCUGUGGGACCGGGAGCAGCAAUAUGGGACCAGGACUGUCUGUAUGGGACCAGGAGCAGCAAUAUGGGACCAGGAACAUCCAUAUGGGACCAAGAGCAUCUGUAUGGGAUCAGGAACAUCCAUAUGGGACCAGGACUGUCUAUAUGGGACCAAGAGCAUCUCUAUGGGAUCAGGAACAUCCAUAUGGGAUCAGGACUGUCUGUAUGGGACUGGAAACAUCGUUGUGGGACCAGGAUCAUCCAUAUGGGGCCAGGAGCAGCUGUAUGGGACCAGGAGCAUCUCUGUAAGGCCGAGGACAAAUCCCUACAAGACCAGAAGUGUCCUAUGGGGCCGUAAGCGUCCAUAUAGGGCUGGGAGCAUCCCUAUGGGGCCAGAAGCAUUCAUAUAGGACCAGGAGUGUCCGUACGGGGCCAUAAGUGCCCAUAUGGGGCCGGGAAGACUCCUAUGGGGCCGGGACUGCUCUUAUAGGGCCAGGAGAACCCUAUAGGGCCAGGACCACUCCUGUGGGGCCGGGAGGACCCUAUAGGGCUGGGAAGACUCCUAUGGGGCCGGGAGGACCCUAUAGGGUCGGGACCACUCCUGUGGGGUCAGGAGCAUGUGUGGGGCCGGGACCACUCCUAUGGGGCCGGGAUCGUUGCUAUGGGGCCAGCAGCGCCCCCGUCGGGCCGGGCGCCCCCUAUAGGACACGGGGCACCCUAUAGGGCCGCCCCCCCCUUUGCGGUCUUCC